ACAUAUAAAAUAAUCAUAAAAAAUUUGCUCUUGGCAACAGGAGAAUAUUUGAUACAACAGCCUUUAUGUUCAGAGCAUCCGUUAAUGAUACUCAUUUGCAUCAACACUCUGAUAGCGUUACCGAAUUAUUUUUCCUCAAUUACUUUGAUUUGCUAACUUUCUAAUAUAUAUAUGAUUUUUUAUCAUUAUUCCAUACUUUAAAUGGCAUCCCUGCCACAUAUUAGUAAAUUACUUCAAUUAUGUCGUCUGCAAGAACUAUAACAUUUCAUUCAUGUGUUCUUCCCAGGCGAGCGCUGCUAAUGCACAAUGAUUACGAAUGUUGUUUGAAAUAAACUCAUUCCCAGAGCAAAAUUUACAUGCCUUAGUAACGUGGGAAGGCAGCUAUUUCACGCCUUGAUGAUUGCCCACCAAACAAAAACACCAAGUAGAUGAAUGCAAGUUGACAAAAUAAAUGUAAGGCAAACAGACCUGAUCCCAUACUACCUCAUAUUUCUUUUCGUUUAUCAUGUUUUAAACUUACUGUUAUAGCAACUAGCUACAAUAAAAUAAUACACUCCAUUAAAUAUAUUAGUAAUGGUAAUGCAUGCUUAGUGCCAAGAAUUAGAAAUGAUUUACCAAAGUGUAACUUACUCACACGUUAUUUGGUCUUUCACUGGGCUUUGCUCUUUAAACUUCCUUGGUAGUAAACAUGAGGCCAUGCUCUCUAACCAGCCCUGAGGCUGGAUGUGCAGAUCCGUUUUAUGUACAGGUCUUGGGAGAAGAUUUUUAUUUUUAAAAUACAGUCCUCACACCCUGUACAGUUGUAGAUACCGCCACCCAUAGGAUGGGUUUAGAUUCCUGUGCAUUUAGAAGAGGGAGUAUGGUCUUAGCAGGAGACUAGAACUCCUCGUUCUGCCACUGAAUCUUCGGCUACCAUUUGACAAUGCAUUUCCAACCCCACGUCCACCUCCUCCCAUUGUGCGGCUCUGUCCAGCAGGGAGAAAAUAUAACCUUGCAAUUGGUUCUCAAGCAACACAAGAAAUGUUCAAGUAGAGUACCUAGGCUCCUCACUGGCCCUGCACUAGGGAGGGAGCAUGUGCUGUGCUCUUACAAGGAGAGUGUCAUCUGCCUGACCAAUGAAUGAUGUGGGUGUAAGUUAACCCUUCGCUUGAUGUCUUUGCUUGCAUGAGUCAGACCCACAAAAUCUCACAAGAUUGACCUAAAAUAAGGUGAUUUAAAUAUAUAUAUAUUUAAAAACACACUUUUGGUUUGUCUUCUGGUUUGUGGACUCCACGUGAUGGUCCCCAAUGUGUAUCAAUUUUCAACCCAUAAUGAUCAAUCUUAAACGUAUGCAGAAUGCGCAUGCACAAAAAAU
rnacentral:lncRNA from 1 species